GAAGAAGCUUUAGAUCGUUAUCAAACCCAUAAGUUACAAAAUGUCAAAACAAAAUUGUUAACUUUUAGCUUCAACAAUUUAUGGAUCACAAUUAUCUAGUGGACACCAAACUUGCACCACUACCAUAAAAACAAGAACAGGAAUCCCAAAUCUAAUCGGAGAAUCUCCUAAAAUCCUUGAUUCCGGAAUAUAAAAUCCAUACAAUUUCCCUUUCAUUAAUUUCCAAAUCGGAGAAAACACGUUGAUCAUCGUCCUCUGUUUUCCUCUAUCUCCAUUGGUGAUCAUUCAUCAAUGGCUUCCUUUAAGUUAAACCCAAUUUCACCUCAAUCGCUUCCUCCGCUUACCAAACCAUACAAACCCACAAAAACGCAAAGACCAACAACCCAUUUAACCUUCACUACCACUUCUCGCCGCCUUUCUUCAGUCAAUUCCGCCGUCUCGGGAAAGGAGUAUGAUGUGUUGCCGGUGAAAAGUCCAGAUUCAAUUGACCAACCUGAGGGAGUUAUGGUUAUUGGGCAAGAAAGAGAAAUGGUGAAUAGAAGUGCGGUUGUUGGUGGGUUUGAUGGGCAAUUGUCAUUGGAGAGUAUUUCUGGUGGUGGAGGUGAGGAUGGUAAUGGUAAAAAUGGUGGGGAAGGUCAAGAUUUGGAUAAAUUGAUUGAUAGAGCUAUCAAUGCUACUAUUGUUCUUGCUGCCGGUACUUUUGCUAUUACUAAAUUGCUUACUAUUGACCAUGAUUAUUGGCAUGGUUGGACUCUAUUUGAAAUACUAAGAUAUGCCCCACAACACAAUUGGAGUGCUUAUGAAGAGAUUCUUAAAACCAAUCCUGUGUUCGCCAAAAUGGUGAUUAGUGGAGUAGUGUACUCGUUGGGUGAUUGGAUAGCACAGUGUUAUGAAGGGAAACCUCUUUUUGGGUUUGAUCGUACCCGCAUGUUGAGAUCGGGGCUUACUGGAUUUGCUUUACAUGGUUCUCUUUCCCAUUACUAUUAUGAACUGUGUGAGGCAUUAUUCCCAUUUCAAGAUUGGUGGGUUGUUCCUUUAAAAGUUGCCUUCGAUCAAACUGUCUGGUCAGCGAUUUGGAAUAGCAUUUAUUUUGUAGUGUUGGGGUUUUUGCGAUUUGAAUCACCAGGUAGUAUCUUCAAGGAACUGAAGACAACGUUCUGGCCUAUGCUUACUGCUGGAUGGAAGCUAUGGCCUUUUGCUCAUCUUGCGACUUAUGGUGUCAUUCCUGUGGAACAAAGACUGCUUUGGGUUGAUUGUGUGGAGCUUAUAUGGGUCACUAUACUUUCAACGUUAUCAAAUGAAAAAUCGGAAGCAAGACUCUCAGAUGCAGCUGCCGAAACCACAAGCUCAAAUGCUUCUGAGGAGUGAGGAAAAUGUAAUGUGAUUGAAAAUUAAGAGAAUCCAAGAUUAUAAUGCGUACUUGUACGCAUCAAAUGAAAUCCGAAUCAGCUGAUCAGUAUGUGGUUGAUAAACAAUGCAAAUUUUUGGUACAUAAAAUGUACAAAAGGAGUUAACAACAUCUCCAAUUCGGAUUCGUAAGACAAAAGACAUGUAAAUUAAGCCAAUGCUAGUGACAUGAUAGAAAGACGACUUGGUGUAGGCUGAAAGUUUCUCCAACGCAAGGUGAGUCGUCUUGGUGGCGGAAACAAAGCUCUUCUGAUCAAUAGCUCUUUCAUCAGUUGUUGUUUACCGAGAUUAUCAGCAUACGUAUAGUCUUGUGAACGAAACAACGACAUUAAUGCUAAAACCUUCGAAGACGACUUUGUGGGUCCCAUUGAAGCUUUCCCUCUUCCCAUUCUCAUCUGCACUACUCUUCUUUGUUGUUCCUUGUUUGGUGGUGUUCUAAGUUAUGACCUUAUUGUUGUUGUAUAUAUAUACUACUAUGUGUGAAAGUAUAUGACCAAGUCACGUAGGGAUGACUUUGGCAAAAGGUUUGAACGAAUGAAAUGUAACAGAAAAAAGGAUAUGAAAAACUUAUUUGACCGGUAAUAAGUCGCAUAGGAAGACUUUAGCAAUAGGUUUGAAUGAUAAUUUUAAAAUGGGAACAUAAUUGACUAUUUUGUCAGGAAGGAACUAAGAAACCACUACAUUUUGACCGGUAAUAAGUCAUGAAUUUGG